GGUGGGGUGCGAGAGUGGUUGAACCGGCCUGUCUUGAAAACAGGUGAGGGCUUUCGUCCUCCGUGGGUUCGAAUCCCACCCCCACCGCCA
rnacentral:tRNA from 1 species